rnacentral:rRNA from 1 species
AUGAGAGAUAACAAACUAUGCAUUCCCAAGUCUUCUCUUUGUUUUCUCCUUUUGCAAGAGGCUCAUGGAGGUGGACUCAUGGGACAUUUUGGACGCGACAAGACAUUCACCACGCUCUCCAAGAACUACUUUUGGCCCAAGAUGUUCCGCGACGUCUCACACUUCACCAAACUAUGCUCUACAUGUCGCAAAGCUAAGUCUAAAGCUCAAUCCCUGGGUCUUUACAUGCCUCUUCCUAUUCCUUAUAAACCUUGGGAAGACAUUAGCAUGGAUUUUGUACUUGGUUUGCCUAGAACUCAAAAUGGCAAGGAUUCCGUGUUUGUUGUUGUGCACCGAUUCUCUAAGAUGGCACAUUUCAUUCCUUGCAACAAGAUAGACGAUGCUUCACACAUUGCAAAUCUCUUGUAG